AACCAAGAUGGCUAAGUUAUACUUUUACGGUAAAAAGACAGUUAAGUUUAAACUUAAGUUUUAUUAGUGUAUAUAUAGGGGUAGAAUUUGAGUAUAUAUUUUUAAUUUGACAAAAACUUUAGCACUGAGGCUGUGAUAGCUUUGAGGGAAACUGGGAUUAGAUACCCCAUUAUUCUUAGUUGUAAAUUAAUGUAAACUUACCGGAGUACUACGAACCAAAGAGUUUAAAACUCAAAGGGCUUGGCGGUGUUUUAGACCUCUUAGGGGAACCUGUCUCAUAAUCGACAAUCCACGUUAAACCUAACUUCUUUUUGUACUCAGUAUGUAUACCAUCGUCGUCAGGUAACUUUUAAAAAACUAAAAGUUAGCCAAUAAGCUGUGUAAGCUUAAACGUCAGAUCAAGGUGCAGUCUAUAAAGGAGUGAGGAUGGGUUACAAUUAUUAAGUUAUAAUUACGAAAUAGUUACAUAAAUAAGUAACUAUGAAGGAGGACUUAAAAGUAAACUGAACUAUAUAAACAUAUUGAAUUAGGCUCUGAAACGUG
rnacentral:rRNA from 1 species